CCUACGGGAGGCAGCAGUGAGGAAUAUUGGUCAAUGGGCGCGAGCCUGAACCAGCGAAGUAGCGUGAAGGAUGACUGCCCUCCGGGUGGUAAACUUCUUUUAUAAGGGAGUAAAGUGCGGCACGUGUGCCUUUUUGUAUGUACUUUAUGAAUAAGGACCGGCUAACUCCGUGCCAGCAGCCGCGGUAAUACGGAGGAUCCGAGCGUUAUCCGGAUUUAUUGGGUUUAAAGGGAGCGUAGAUGGGUUGUUAAGUCAGUUGUGAAAGUUUGCGGCUCAACCGUAAGAUUGCAAUUGAUACUGGCAGGCUGGAGUGCAGGUGAGGUAGGCGGAAUUCGUGGUGUAGCGGUGAAAUGCUUAGAUAUCACGAAGAACUCCGAUUGCGAAGGCAGCUUACUAAACUGCCACUGACAUUGAUGCUCGAAAGUGUGGGUAUCAAACAGGAUUAGAUACCCCAGUAGUC
rnacentral:rRNA from 1 species